rnacentral:rRNA from 1 species
CCCUUCGAUGUUCGGAGCUGCACGCGCGCUACACUGUGGGUGGCAGCAUGUUAGCUUGCCUCGCUCGCAAGAGUGGGGUAAUCGUUUGAAAAUCCCACGUGAUUGGGAUAGGGACUUGUAAUUAUUUCCCUUGAACGAGGAAUCCCUAGUAAGUGCAGGUCAUCAGCUUGCGCUGAUUACGUCCCUGCCCUUUGUACACACCGCCCGUCGCACCUACCGAUUGGAUGGUCCGGUGAAGCCUCGGGAUUGUGGUUCUUGCCGCUUUAUUGUGGCGUGACCGCGAGAACUUGUCUAAACCUUAUCAUCUAGAGGAAGGUGAAGUCGUAACA